GACGAACGCUGGCGGCGUGCUUAACACAUGCAAGUCGAACGGAAAGGCCCUGCUUUUGUGGGGUGCUCGAGUGGCGAACGGGUGAGUAACACGUGAGUAACCUGCCCUUGACUUUGGGAUAACUUCAGGAAACUGGGGCUAAUACCGGAUAGGAGCUCCUGCUGCAUGGUGGGGGUUGGAAAGUUUCGGCGGUUGGGGAUGGACUCGCGGCUUAUCAGCUUGUUGGUGGGGUAGUGGCUUACCAAGGCUUUGACGGGUAGCCGGCCUGAGAGGGUGACCGGCCACAUUGGGACUGAGAUACGGCCCAGACUCCUACGGGAGGCAGCGGUGGAGAAUAUUGCACAAUGGGCGGAAGCCUGAUGCAGCAACGCCGCGUGCGGGAUGACGGCCUUCGGGUUGUAAACCGCUUUCGCCUGUGACGAAGCGUGAGUGACGGUAAUGGGUAAAGAAGCACCGGCUAACUACGUG
rnacentral:rRNA from 1 species